UAAGAGCCCAAAGAAAGGGGGA
rnacentral:piRNA from 1 species